UCUUACGGAUAACCAAAGAAAGUGGUUUCUUGAGAUGGAAUCUACUCCUGGUGAAGAUGCUGUGAA
rnacentral:pre_miRNA from 1 species